AUCCAACUGACGAGUCCCAAAUAGGACGAAACGUGCUUCCUGGAU
rnacentral:hammerhead_ribozyme from 1 species